GUAACUUAAAGACGUUUUGUCAAUUCCUCACUCUUGUCGUUUUCUGAAUCGACAAAAAAAAUUGUCAAUCACUUUUCGA